GUGGACUACAGAAUGUUGAAAGACAGACACUGUUCUGGGUUAGGGUUCCUGGCAAAAUGGCUUUCUGAAUUCUGCAUCUAACAGAUGUUUUUGCUUGUAAUAACUGGAAGAAAAAAGUCAUCCUCAAGAGGUCAAGGAGUUGUUGUCCAAACACAACUUAGAGAUAGAAGAGAGCCACACUUCUAUCCUUAGGACCACAAUUCACUAUGCUUUUAUAGGUUUUACUCAACGUAACAGAAAGAAGAGCAUACAAAAAAUAAAAUCAAACAACCAAGAUAUGAUCCCUCGCCGAGGCAGGCAGAGACUUCAGCGCAGCAGCAGUGUAACUGCCAUCGCUUAGGCAACUGUGGGUCUAUACAGUGAAACUAUUUCUAUGAAGGAAGGCUUUUAGUCCCACUUACUUUCUGUAGGAUGUGGUUAAUGAUGGCAGAUAUCAGCCAUCUCCAAAUGAAAAUGCAGCUGGCAGCAUUAGAAAUCCUUAGGAUACAACAGUUGAAUACAAAUUUGCAAUAAAUGUUUUUGGCUACGCCAAGACCACAAGGGAAGAACCAGAUUCAUACAGAUGGGAAGUGACCACCAGCCUAGAACGACAGCCGAAGUGGAAAGCUCCAGUCCAUGGCCUGGAGCAUGGAUCUUCCCUCUGCCAAUACUCUGCAUAUUCUCC
rnacentral:lncRNA from 1 species